GCUCAGGAUGAACGCUAGCUACAGGCUUAACACAUGCAAGUCGAGGGGUAGCAGGGUAGCAAUACCGCUGACGACCGGCGCACGGGUGAGUAACACGUAUCCAACCUUCCCAUAACUCGGGGAUAGCCUUUCGAAAGAAAGAUUAAUACCCGAUAGUACUUUAUUAAGGCAUCUUAAGAAAGUUAAAGAUUUAUUGGUUAUGGAUGGGGAUGCGUUCCAUUAGAUAGUUGGUGAGGUAACGGCUUACCAAGUCUUCGAUGGAUAGGGGUUCUGAGAGGAAGGUCCCCCACAUUGGUACUGAGACACGGACCAAACUCCUACGGGAGGCAGCAGUGAGGAAUA
rnacentral:rRNA from 1 species